rnacentral:rRNA from 1 species
GUACGACCGCAAGGUUGAAACUCAAAGGAAUUGACGGGGGCCCGCACAAGCGGUGGAGCAUGUGGUUUAAUUCGAAGCAACGCGAAGAACCUUACCAGGUCUUGACAUCUUUUGAUCACCUGAGAGAUCAGGUUUCCCCUUCGGGGGCAAAAUGACAGGUGGUGCAUGGUUGUCGUCAGCUCGUGUCGUGAGAUGUUGGGUUAAGUCCCGCAACGAGCGCAACCCUUAUGACUAGUUGCCAGCAUUUAGUUGGGCACUCUAGUAAGACUGCCGGUGACAAACCGGAGGAAGGUGGGGAUGACGUCAAAUCAUCAUGCCCCUUAUGACCUGGGCUACACACGUGCUACAAUGGAUGGUACAACGAGUUGCGAGACCGCGAGGUCAAGCUAAUCUCUUAAAGCCAUUCUCAGUUCGGACUGUAGGCUGCAACUCGCCUACACGAAGUCGGAAUCGCUAGUAAUCGCGGAUCAGCACGCCGCGGUGAAUACGUUCCCGGGCCUUGUACACACCGCCCGUCACACCAUGAG